GGAGGGUGCAAGCGUUAUCCGGAUUCACUGGGUUUAAAGGGUGCGUAGGAGGGUAGGUAAGUCAGUGGUGAAAUCUUCGAGCUUAACUCGGAAACUGCCGUUGAUACUAUCUAUCUUGAAUACCGUGGAGGUGAGCGGAAUAUGUCAUGUAGCGGUGAAAUGCUUAGAUAUGACAUAGAACACCAAUUGCGAAGGCAGCUCGCUACACGAAUAUUGACUCUGAGGCACGAAAGCGUGGGGAUCAAACAGGAUUAGAUACCCUGGUAGUCCACGCCCUAAACGAUGGAUACUCGACAUACGCGAUACACAGUGUGUGUCUGAGCGAAAGCAUUAAGUAUCCCACCUGGGAAGUACGACCGCAAGGUUG
rnacentral:rRNA from 1 species